UAAGCGGAGGAAAAGAAACCAACAGGGAUUGCCCUAGUAACGGCGAGUGAAGCGGCAACAGCUCAAAUUUGAAAUCUGGCUUCGGCCCGAGUUGUAAUUUGCAGAGGAAGCUUUGUGCGCGGCACCAACUGAGUCCCCUGGAACGGGGCGCCACAGAGGGUGAGAGCCCCGUAUAGUUGGACGCCUAGCACGUGUAAAGCUCCUUCGACGAGUCGAGUAGUUUGGGAAUGCUGCUCAAAAUGGGAGGUAAAUUUCUUCUAAAGCUAAAUACCGGCCAGAGACCGAUAGCGCACAAGUAGAGUGAUCGAAAGAUGAAAAGCACUUUGAAAAGAGGGUUAAAUAGCACGUGAAAUUGUUGAAAGGGAAGCGCUUGUGACCAGACUUGCGCCCGGCGGAUCAUCCGGUGUUCUCACCGGUGCACUCCGACGGGCGCAGGCCAGCAUCGGUUCUCGCGGGGGGACAAAGGUCCCGGGAACGUAGCUCCUCCGGGAGUGUUAUAGCCCGGGGCGUCAUGCCCUCAGCGGGGACCGAGGACCGCG
rnacentral:rRNA from 1 species